AGCAGCCGCGGUAAUUCCAGCUCCAAUAGCGUAUAUUAAAGUUGUUGCAGUUAAAAAGCUCGUAGUUGAAUUUCGGGACUAAUAUGUCGGUCGUACUUUGUACGUACUAGCAUUAUUGGUUUCUCCCUUCUGACGAACCACGAUGUCAUUAAUUUGGUGUCGCGGGAAAUCAGGACUGUUACUUUGAAAAAAUUAGAGUGUUUAAAGCAGGCUCGCGCUUGAAUACAUUAGCAUGGAAUAAUGAAAUAGGACGUUUGAUUCUAUUUUGUUGGUUUCUAGGAUCGACGUAAUGAUUAAUAGGGAUAGUUGGGGGCAUUAGUAUUCAAUUGUCAGAGGUGAAAUUCUUGGAUUUAUUGAAGACUAACUACUGCGAAAGCAUUUGCCAAGGAUGUUUUCAUUAAUCAAGAACGAAAGUUAGGGAUCGAAGACGAUCAGAUACCGUCGUAGUCU
rnacentral:rRNA from 1 species